GCACAAGCAGUGGAGUAUGUGGUUUAAUUCGAAGCAACGCGAAGAACCUUACCAGGUCUUGACAUCCGAUGCAUAGCACAGAGAUGUGUGAAAUCCUUCGGGACAUCGAGACAGGUGGUGCAUGGUUGUCGUCAGCUCGUGUCGUGAGAUGUUGGGUUAAGUCCCGCAACGAGCGCAACCCUUAUUGCCAGUUACUACGUUAAGAGGACUCUGGCGAGACUGCCGUUGAUAAAA
rnacentral:rRNA from 1 species